rnacentral:rRNA from 1 species
GACGGGACCGCACAAGCGGUGGAUGAUGUGGUUUAAUUCGAUGCAACGCGAAAACCUUACCACCUUUGACAUGUACGGAAGCCUUUAGAGAUAGAGGCGUGCUCGAAAGAGAGCCGUAACACAGGUGCUGCAUGGCUGUCGUCAGCUCGUGUCGUGAGAUGUUGGGUUAAGUCCCGCAACGAGCGCAACCCUUGUCAUUAGUUGCUACAUUCAGUUGGGCACUCUAAUGAGACUGCCGGUGACAAGCCGGAGGAAGUGGGGAUGACGUCAAGUCCUCAUGGCCCUUAUAGGUGGGGCUACACACGUCAUACAAUGGCUGGUACAAAGGGUUGCCAACCCGCGAGGGGGAGCUAAUCCCAUAAAGCCAGUCGUAGUCCGGAUCGUAGUCUGCAACUCGACUACGUGAAGUCGGAAUCGCUAGUAAUCGUGGAUCAGAAUGUCACGGUGAAUACGUUCCCGGGUCUU